GACGAACCGUGCGAACGUUGUUCGGAAUCACUGGGCUUAAAGGGCGCGUAGGCGGCUCGCGAGGUCGGGGGUGAAAUCCCACGGCUCAACCGUGGAAGGGCCUCCGAUACCGGCGGGCUGGAGGAAGGUAGGGGUGCGCGGAACUUCUGGUGGAGCGGUGAAAUGCGUUGAUAUCAGAAGGAACGCCGGCGGCGAAAGCGGCGCACUGGACCUUUUCUGACGCUGAGGCGCGAAAGCCAGGGGAGCAAAC
rnacentral:rRNA from 1 species